CAGUUAUACAGCGAUUUCAUUGGAAUUGUCAAGAUUUCUUCUGCUAAUCUUCAAUUGGAAUUUAAAUUCAAGAUUUUGAAUUUUAUGAAACGAUUUGGUAAAAUGCCCAUUGGAGUUUCUGUUGCAGGUUUCUUUUUCGUAAAAAAGAAUUUUGUCAUUAAGCUGGUUAAAAUGCUUUAUUCGAUCUUCUCGACACUACUCGAACUUAAAAAUGUAAAUAAAAAACAUACCUGUGUGUCAGUACUUAAUACCACAGAAAAUCCAUUGAACAGUUCUUUCUUACAACCGUUGAAUACUACUUUAUAAAAAUGUACACAAUUUAAUUUAAUAGUAUCGAUGCUGUUUUGUGACAAUUGUGUAAAUUUAUUACAAAUACUUCAUAAAGUAAUAGGAAGUAAGUGAUUCUUUGUAUUCUGCAGUGCAUACCAUCAAUUUAAAGUUGUUACUGAUUCACUUUGCAGAAUGUUACUUCAUUCAUUCAAAAUUAUAUUUCACGAGAAGAUUAGGAAUAAUAUCGAUACAUGCUUACAUGAUAAUUGGAGUGUGCAGACAAUUACUAAAAACCGGUAUAUUAUAUCAAAUAUAACGUUAAAACCAAAAAGUAGCAUUGAAGUAAAGUCCUGAAGAUAAGCUUAUUUUGUGUUACACGCAUUUGAAGAAAGCUGUAAGAAUCUCUUGCAAAAUUGUUUACACCAAGUUUUAUUGUUCGUGACAAACAUUACUUGAAAACUAUACAAAAAUGUGCAGAUAUUUUUAUUACCGUGAAACAAUUACAUGUCAACUUCAUAAUAGCCGAACAAGACUUUAUUUCUGGUUUUACUUGAUGU